UGAAGUCCAGAGUUGCCCAUCCCUGGUCCCAAGAAUGUAAGAGUGAGGAAUGGAUAGAGAUUGAAUUGAAAAUGAGUGAGCAGAACAAAACAAAUAUGUUUUGCAACAUAAGACUGAUGUAGCCUGUAUUCAAGAUGGAGACGUGGGAAGCUGGACUGAGAUCCUGCCAAUCUUUUUACCUGGCGACAGUGCCUUUUGAAGUUAAUCCUUUGGGUCUCAUACCCUACAGACAAGCAGAAUAUGAUUAGUGGUGCAGGGUUGACUCUGCUCAACAUUUUCUCAAGCUUUGUUUCGGGAAUACAGAUUAUUCUGCUCUAUGAUCAAUGCAAACCAAGGAGAAGUUUUGUUUCACUUUGCAGAGAAACAUCUAUUACAGAGCUGUUCAUGUACUUUCAACAUUGUUGAUCUGACAUUCCUGUUGCCAUUAUCCAUCUUUAAUAGAUGUGAAGUAGCAGAAUCAAGUCUGUUAAAGACAUUGGAGGGUUGUGAUUACAAUGGGAUUGAAGAAUAAACACCUCUGCAUCAGUAAAAUUGACUUUACUCCAUUAUCAACUCAAUCUGAGUGUACCAAGGAUUGAUAAUGAUGGGUACAUUUGUUAUCAAUACUGAAUAUUUAUUCAUACUAAAUUCUAGAGCAUUAUUCACCACUUGCCGUUCCUGUCCUAUAAUGAGUCAAUAAACAGAUUGUACUAUAUAAUUUUCUAAAUAAAAACCAAAUUUUCCCAAUA